GAGGUUCAUCUCCUCCUGUUUGACGUGUCUGUGUUUUCCUCAUGGGUCUGGAUGUCACACAGUACAGCAUCACGGAUCUGGGAAAAUAUGAGAAAAAAUAAAUGGGAAUUCGUUCAGAGAGCACGUGGUGUUUACACGAAUGAUCACACCUCAAACCUUGUGAAGGAGUACAUGGAUGUCAACUUUCACAUGACGAAGCCUCAGAUGCAAGACACAUUAGAAUAUGUAGUCAUAAAUGAAGGGGCAGAGGCCACAGACCCUUGAAGAUGUCUGUUUAUUCCCUUA